rnacentral:misc_RNA from 1 species
UCAAACUUGGUCAUUUAGAGGAAGUAAAAGUCGUAACAAGGUUUCCGUAGGUGAACCUGCGGAAGGAUCAUUACUGAAACUGACGUGCUGUCCUGCGCACUCGCUCCGGCGAGUCGCUGCGGACGGUCGUCAUUCCACUUCAAACCCCUGUGCACUUGGUGGCUCCUCGUGGGCCUCUUUUACAAACGUUAAACAGUUUAAGAAUGCAUGCGGCCCUGUGCCGUCCAAAUACAAAACAACUUUCAACAACGGAUCUCUUGGCUCUCGCAUCGAUGAAGAACGCAGC